rnacentral:rRNA from 1 species
CGAAGGUGGCGAAUGUUGUUCGGAUUUACUGGGCGUAAAGCGUCCGCAGGUGGUUGGUUAAGUCAGGUGUGAAAGCCCCGCGCUCAACGUGGGAAUUGCACUUGAAACUGACUGACUAGAAGACAAGAGAGGGGGGCGGAAUUACCGGUGUAGAAGUGAAAUUCGUAGAUAUCGGUAGGAACACCCAUGGCGAAGGCAGCUCCCUGGCUUGCUCUUGACACUCAUGGACGACAGCGUGGGGAUCAAACAGGAUUAGAUACCCUGGUAGUCCACGCCGUAAACGAUGCAUGUUCGCUGUCGGAUUCGCUACAGAAUUCGGUGGCUUAGCUAACGCGGUAAACAUGCCGCCUGGGGAGUACGGCCGCAAGGUUA